rnacentral:rRNA from 1 species
UACGAAGGGGGCUAGCGUUGCUCGGAAUGACUGGGCGUAAAGGGCGCGUAGGCGGCUUGCACCGUCAGAUGUGAAAUUCCUGGGCUUAACCUGGGGGCUGCAUUUGAUACGUGUGGGCUUGAGUGCGGAAGAGGGUCGUGGAAUUCCCAGUGUAGAGGUGAAAAUUCGUAGAUAUUGGGAAGAACACCAGUGGCGAAGGCGGCUCACUGGACUGGUAUUGACGCUGAGGUGCGAAAGCGUGGGGAGCAAACAGG